rnacentral:rRNA from 1 species
CAAUAGCGUAUAUUUAAGUUGUUGCAGUUAAAAAGCUCGUAGUUGGAUUUCGGGUUGGCUUCAGCGGUCUCGCUUUGCGUUUGUACUGCUGCAGCCUACCUUCUUGUCGGGGACGGGCCUUCGGGCUUAAUUGCUUGGGGCCCGGAGUCGACGAUGUUACUUUGAGGAAAUUAGAGUGUUCAAAGCAAGCCUACGCUCUGAAUAUAAUAGCAUGGGAUAACACGACAGGACUCUGGCCUAUCGUGUUGGUCUGUAGGACCAGAGUAAUGAUUAAGAGGGACAGUCGGGGGCAUUCGUAUUCCGUUGUCAGAGGUGAAAUUCUUGGAUUUACGGAAGACGAACAUCUGCGAAAGCAUUUGCCAAGGAUGUUUUCAUUGA